rnacentral:rRNA from 1 species
GACGUAGGGUCCAAGCGUUGUCCGGAUUUACUGGGCGUAAAGAGCGCGUAGGCGGCUCGUUAAGUGUGAAGUGAAAUCUCUAGGGCUCAACCCAGAAACUGCUUUACAUACUGGAGAGCUGGAGUGAUGAAGAGGUUUGUGGAAUUCCUGGUGUAGCGGUGAAAUGCGUUGAUAUCAGGAGGAACACCCAUGGCGAAGGCAGCAAACUGGUCAUCAACUGACGCUGAGGCGCGAAAGCGUGGGUAGCAAACAGG